GGAUGAGUGGCGAACGGGUGAGUAACACGUGAGUAACCUGCCCCCUUCUUUGGGAUAACGCCCGGAAACGGGUGCUAAUACUGGAUAUUCACUGAUCUUCGCAUGGGGGUUGGUGGAAAGGUUUUUUCUGGUGGGGGAUGGGCUCGCGGCCUAUCAGCUUGUUGGUGGGGUGAUGGCCUACCAAGGCUUUGACGGGUAGCCGGCCUGAGAGGGUGACCGGUCACAUUGGGACUGAGAUACGGCCCAGACUCCUACGGGAGGCAGCAGUGGGGAAUAUUGCACAAUGGGCGAAAGCCUGAUGCAGCGACGCCGCGUGAGGGAUGGAGGCCUUCGGGUUGUAAACCUCUUUCGCUCAUGGUCAAGCCGCAACAUUGGUUGUGGUGAGGGUAGUGGGUAAAGAAGCGCCGGCUAACUACGUGCCAGCAGCCGCGGUAAUACGUAGGGCGCGAGCGUUGUCCGGAAUUAUUGGGCGUAAAGGGCUUGUAGGCGGUUGGUCGCGUCUGCCGUGAAAUCCUCUGGCUUAACUGGGGGCGUGCGGUGGGUACCGGCUGACUUGAGUGCGGUAGGGGAGACUGGAACUCCUGGUGUAGCGGUGGAAUGCGCAGAUAUCAAGAAGAACACCGGUGGCGAAAGCGGGUCUCUGGGCCGUUACUGACCCUGAGGAGCGAAAGCGUGGGGAGCGAACAGGAUUAGAUACCCUGGUAGUCCAC
rnacentral:rRNA from 1 species